GCGUCAGAUUCCAAAAUGCCCGACAUGCAAGCGGGUUGGGAACAGAUGUGUUCCAACGUCAUGGCGGGCCUUUCUGGAUUGAACAUGGUUUAUGAGGCUG
rfam:Rhodobacteraceae bacterium HTCC2083 scf_1106200183017 genomic scaffold, whole genome shotgun sequence.